GACGUAGGGUCCAAGCGUUGUCCGGAUUUACUGGGCGUAAAGAGCGCGUAGGCGGUCUGUUAAGUGUAGAGUGAAAUCUCCAGGGCUCAACCCGGAAACUGCUCUGCAUACUGGCAGACUGGAGUGAUGCAGAGGUUUGUGGAAUUCCUGGUGUAACGGUGAAAUGUGUUGAUAUCAGGAGGAACACCAAUGGCGAAGGCAGCACUCUGGGACGUGACUGACGCUGAGACGCGAAAAGCAUGGGGGAGCAAACAGG
rnacentral:rRNA from 1 species